UGCUCCUAGUACGAGAGGACCGGAGUGGACGAACCUCUGGUGUUCCGGUUGUCACGCCAGUGGCAUUGCCGGGUAGCUACGUUCGGACGGGAUAACCGCUGAAAGCAUCUAAGCGGGAAGCCUCCCUCAAGAUGAGAUCUCCCUGGGGGCUUGACCCCCCUGAAGGGCCGUUGAAGACCACAACGUUGAUAGGCUGGGUGUGGAAGCGUUGUAAGGCGUGAAGCUAACCAGUACUAAUUGCCCGUGAGGCUUGAC
rnacentral:rRNA from 1 species